UUCUCUUCCUCUUCAAUUCAAAGAUUCCCUUUGUUUGAUAAGAUCAAAGUAAAGGUUUCUCGUAUUCCUUUAUUUUAUUCAUUCUGUUUACGGAUUGCUGGACCCGUAUCGGUAUACUUCCUCUUCACGCACAGGGAUGCGAGAAUAGAGAGACAAGUGUUCACAUGCAAGGAAACCAACAAGUGCGGCUGGGACCCAAAAUGGAAACAACUGUGCGGGUAGCAACCAAUGCAUUUGCAGUGACUACAGAAUGGACGACCUUCGCGCAGCUUUUCAAGCAUUUGGAGAGAAUGUUAACCUUGAGUUUCAAGAAAUUUUUAGUGUUCUUGCCAACAUAAGCCUAAGGCUUGAUGGUAGUGGAGUGACAUCAACCGUCAACCUUGGGAAGGACCAACUACCUGUCUAUUUGUUGAGAUAGCUCAUGGGAUAUUGUUGCAGAAUGAUCCUCCACUUGUAAUGAUUAAUGUUAGUUAUGAUUCUAAAGACAAAGUUGUUGAGGAUAAUGGAGACAUAGAUAAUCAAUGAAAGCUUCAUUUCUUGAACCUACAGCAACAUGUUCGAAAAGGUGUGCAAUAUUUUCAUUAAUAGUGGGAGUUGUGGCAAUUGUGCAGCAUCUUGGACUACCCACGAAACCAGUUCCUAAGCUUAUAAGUUGGGAUGGAACAAUAAAGGGCAAUUCAUUGGUUAUGGAAAUUUGUCAUGUUCCAAUAUCCAUUGGAAAGAGUUAGAAAGAUUCUGUGAUAUGCAAAGUGGUUGAUACAAAUGCUUGUCAUAUUUUGCUUGGAAAAUCGUGGCAAAUUGGCGCAGGCACCAUUUACCAAAAACAAAAGUUGUAAUUCCAUCUGGAUCUUGGGGUGACAAGUAAGAACACUUACACCAAAAAUGAAAUGCUUGAGGAAGAUAAGAACCCAAACAAGAUGGAGACUUGGAGCAUGUAUUUCAACACAACUCCUUGGCUUGAAGGCAGAGUCUUAAUAGGACUGUAAUCAGUGAAAUCUGUAUCUUACAUGACCUAGUUUUUGUAACUGAUGCUUACUGUAGAUAAAGGAUCAAAGCUUUCAAAUUGUGUGAUAUUGGACUCAUAUCAGUUUCCUGGAACAAAGGGGCUUCCAUAAGUUCCAUUUAAUUUCUAAUUUAGUAACUGAUGCUGAACUUGUUCUGCUUUUGUAUUUAUGGUUUUGUAUGUUUCAAAUGGUUUGACUGAUAUAUCUUGUAUUUGCAGCCUAGAAAUCCUUCCUGGCAGUCUAGUAGCUGUUUUGCAGGUAACCCUAUAAAGAAGUGAAAGUUCCCAAUUGUUCUGCCUCUUUCACCUUUUCUUGAAGAGCCAUCUUUUUCAAAGACGGAAAGGAUUUAAAACACAAAGAAUAUGGUUUUAGCCAGAGAUCGUCCUUGAACCCUGUGUUACUACAAUUUAUGAUGGUGAGAAAUAUUCUCAUUUGGAGGCGGAACAAGAUUGCUGGCUAGGUGAUUCAAUUUUAAAAUUUAUCCAAUUGAACUUUUGGACUCGUCUGGAUCUAUUCUUGCUGAAACAAAUCCUACAUCUGUCCAGAUAUCAUCCUUUACCCCUUGUGUCAGUACAGCUUCUGCUAAGAAAUCUGAUGUCAGCAGGAAUUUUCUUUUAGGAGGUAAAACACAAACAACUAGGUCAUGCAAAUGUUUGCUCUGUUCAAUUGAACUUGGACUCUUUUGGAUCAUGCCUGCUGAAACAUAUGCUACAUCUGUCCUGAUAUCAUCCUUGAGCCUUGUGCCAAUACAGCUUCUGCUGGCAUAUCUGAUGGCAAGAAUUUUCUUUUAGAGCUAAAACAAUAAGUCAAGAACUAGGUGAUGCAAAUAUUAGCUCUGUUCAAUUGAACUUGGAUUGGAUUCUUCUGGACACAUAUCUGCUAAAACAAAUUUUGCAUCUACUCAGAGAUCAUCCUAAUUGGUGUGUCAGUACAUGUUCUGCCAGUAAAUCCCGAUAGUUAAUAGACUUCUCUUUGGAGGUAGAACAAGAACAACUACGUGAUGCAAAUGUUUAAUCUGUUCACGGCUCUGGACCCACAACUUCUAAAACAAAUUCUAUGUCUGUGUACUCUAAAAAUAAGGAGUAUUUUGGAUGUCUACGUGAUGAAGCAAAUGCGACCUCUGCCUGUUCUAAUAGUGAAUCCUCUGGAAAUAAACCUCAGGUAGCUAACCUAAAGUUUUACUUAGGUUCUAUUGCUAGCACAGACAAUAGUGUUAAAGCAGUAUUUUCUCAAAGCAGCCUUGAAGUUGUAGAAAGCAUUCCAGUGAAUGUAAAGAUGCAAACUUCAAGCAAACAAAUGGAAGGUGACUGUAAGUUUCAACUUUCUCUCAGUUCAGGAAAUCCUGAAUUCUCAUUAGGACCAAAGGAGCUGUGUCUUCUUUGGGGGUGUAGAAUGGUGAAGGAGGUUCUGAGAUGCUUGAUGAGUUGGAUCCAUUAUUGCUAUCUUUUUCUUUAAAACAAAGAAAAGGCCACCACUCAAAUUCAAAAUUGGAAUUCUAGGUUGAAUGAUCAUAGUCAGGAUGUUGAUACUAAUAGGUCAAAGUGUCAAACUGGGAUUUGAACUGUAUGGGAGGGUCUUGGCAACGUCUUUCAUGAUGUAAAUAGUAUUGCUGCUCUAUGGAAUACCAGUACUGGAGAUGACUUGCAAUCUAGGUUAAGCUUUUCAAGCAUGAAUGAUGAAUCAUGCCUGAAGUUCCGCAGCUGGCCCAUGCCGUUCUGUGCUUCCGGCCCCAGGUCAUCACAGUUUCCUUUUUUGUUGUCUUUUGAACUUCCAUUUAUUGUGAAGUGGCGGGUCAUCACACUCUACUAGAAGCAGUAGGACACCUGAUGGUUUAUUUCAUAAGGAGGGGCUGAUGAUAAUGAAUACUAGCAGGUUUGGCAGGAUGAUGGGUUGGAUGACAUCUAUAGAAUGAAAUAACAAAGAUUUUGACUUUUUUGCUUCAUUUUGUCUCCUGAGAUUACAUGUGGACCAAAUGUAGAAUUUGGAAUUGAACCUGGAAGAAUGUGCAAUAAAAAUAAAGAUUGGAGCAACUAACAUCUUAAGCAGCAUUGGCAGCAGCAUGUUGUUAGCAUUUUUUUUAUCAUUGCUUGCUGCUCAAAACUCAUGAUCUUUCACACUUGUGGGUGCUUGUUUUUCAUUUCUAUUCUAUUGUAUUAGGUAUUAGAUUGGAGCAACUAACAUCUUAAGCAGCAUUGGCAGCAGCAUGUUGUUCAACAUUUUUUUUUAUCAUUGCUUGCUGCUCAAAACUCAUGAUCUUUCACACUUGAGAAUGGGGGCUAUUCAACAUGGACCUUGGCAAGAGAAGUGUACCAGGAGAGAAGCAAGGAGGUCAACUUCUUUCAAAUAAUGGACUUUGGCAAUGUAGUUGGCUUCUCAUGUUGAUCCAAAUGAAUCGUCCUUCCAUGGAGGUCAACCUUUGCCUGCCAGCCAAUAGGAUAGCAAGUUACAAAUUCUGUCUGUCUCGGCAGGAUCUACUACUAUGAAAUUCAUAAAUGAAGUAGUUAAUGAAUUUGUCCAUAUUUUAGGGUCUCAAAGGGGUGUGCUACAGAUGCACGGGAGGGUCCUGGCAAUGACUUUCAGCAUGUAAAUAGUAUUGACGCUCUACAGAAUACCAAUACUGGAGAUGACAUACAAUCUAGGUCAAGCAUUUUGAGCAUGCACCAUGCCUGCAGUAAGGAGCAAGUUUUUGGAGCAUGUGAGCAGCGAGAUUUUUACUUAUAUCUUUACCAUCUAGCCUGCAGUACAAGCCAGGGGAUUUGCUUCUCUUAGUCUUGGAAGCACUUUCUUUGGACUGGACUUCCUGAGGGGAAGGUUGGUUCGUUGACCUUGGUAAACUUCAGCAGUGUGGCAAGAAGAAGAUGCAUAUGAAGAUGAUGAAGUCCAGGAUGCAACAAUGUAAUCAAUAGCAUGAGAUCCAAAUGCUGACGGAAUGGAUUAAAAAAAUAUUAUUGGUUCUGCUAUAAACAUUUGCAUAUAGUAGGUUUUCCUGAUGAUUGUAUUAAUGCCCAAUCCAGUUGUGGUGAAGAAGACGAUACAGUCAUGCUUCAACAGGAGAAAGUAGUGACUGUAUCAAAGAGUGUAGUGGCAUAGUUUCUGAUAGGAAACCUGAUCAAUUUGUGGGGAAAGGAUGGCUCGUUCCCAACCUCAUUUUUGGAAAAAAGUGUUGGCAACAUAGUCUGAUGAUGGUAUGUCUUUAAAUGCUACUCACCAAAGACAUUCUGAUUCAGUGGGUGAAAGGACGUCCGAGAGGGAUAUAGUGAGAAUGAGGGUGUUUUACGUGAUAGAGCAUUAAAUGUGAUCUACGAAACAGGAAUAAUUGUAACCAACAUCUUGAUUGAGAAUGCUAGUGGAAAUAACACAACAGAAAAAUUAAUGUCCAACACAAAAACAUCUCUAAAUGGUAACAUAGUAAAGAUUUUAGUGGAAAUAACUGCUAGAUUAUCUAUUUGCUUUGGGCUUCUAAUCCCACUUCCCUUUGAAAAGGCAGCUAUUAAGUGGGCAGACCAUUGUUAACACGAAGUGGAAGGGAGAGAUUAUGAUAUUGAGGAGAAAAUUCAUGUGUGGGAAUAGAGAGGAAAUGUAUGAUGAUGGUUCUGGGAUAUAUGUAGACAGACUUCAAGGUUCUUAUGGUAGCUUGAGGAUAAAUUUCAUGUGCGGAAGAGGACAGGUUUUGGCCUAGUUUGGAAGGUCAUACCUCAAUUGGUAUGCUGCACAUGAUUUUAGCUUUGGAAGUUAUAGUGGUCUGAGUGAUUAUUGCUUUGCUGAACAUAACUGUGCUGUUGCUGUGGCUGGAACUGGAGUUGAAGGGAUAGAUUUGAUAUUGUACCAAAUGAAGCUAUAUUUGCUAUUAAUCAAGGAAGGGAGUUUUUGAAUGGGAACUACCUUUUUGGCAUUCUUCACAAUGGAGGCUUUCUCAUGGUCAUGCAAGUAGAUGUACCCCUAUGAAAAUAGCUGUAAGAUGGUUGGACUUGGGCCUGUAGAGAAGUUAAUGAGGUAUUUACCUUACAAUAUUGUUAAUCCUUCAUAUAGACUAGGAAGGCAAUUUGUUUGUGGUUUUUUCUAUGGCAAUUCAUAGGAGAGCUAUUCCUCGGAUGGAGACAAAAUCUCCCAAUAGAUCUCAAAGACAUUAUCCUGGCCCUCAGGCCUCAGUCUUCUUCUCAGAGAAGAGCUAUGAAAGGGCUAGAUUGAUCUUGUCUGAAAUGACAAAGUGUAAACUUUAGUUAUGUACCUUGUAGAUUGUUAUUUGUUUUCUGAAGAGAUGGAUGCUAGAAGAUGUGACUCAUUUCUUUGGGACAACCUUCCGUUGACACAAGGGAUGUGGAUGCUAUUCAGGAACGGUGGACCUAGUCUCUCCCAGAAGCACAAGGAGACCUGAUUGUUUAUUUCAUAGGGGGAGGGCUGGUGAUAAUGAAUAUUUUUGUGAGCCAAUAAAUUCCAUUAUGAUCCAUGAACUUAAGGGUGAUAUAGGUAGUGAUGGUUCAUUCCUUUCGUCCACCAAUUUCCCAUUUCCACCCUGUGAAUGAACCUAGGAGCUUUAGAUUCUCUCUAGAAGAAGAUGCAUAGUCCUUGGAAUGAACCAGGGAUUUCGGUGCACACAUCAAGAGUGGACCUGUAACUACUUUAUGACAAACUAGAAAAUUUAAAGAGCAAUGGAACUUAUUGACCAAGUAGGCAGCUUUGGCAGGAUGAUGGGUUGGAUGACAUCUAUUGAGUGAGAAGAGACUAAAGAUUUUAACUUCUUGCUUCGUUUUGUCUCCAGUUGUUACAUGUGUCCAAAUGCAGAAUCUUGGAAUUGAACCUAGAAGAAUGUGCCAGCGCCCAGCAGUAACAAUAAAAGAUUGGAGCUACUAAUAACAUCUCUAGCGGCAUUGGCAUCAGCAUCAUGUUCCACAUUUGUUUUUCAUUGCUUGCUGGCUCAAAACUCAUGAUCUUUCACACUUGUUGGUGCUCAUUGCUAGAUUUCAACUUUAGACCUCACCUAGCGGCCCCUACAUUAUGACUUAUCCAGCCCAAAAUGGAGCUAGAAGCUACUGUGAGGUAUAAUGAUGCCACGAGAUCAAUAAGAAAAGCUUGACUUGUUUCUCUAUAACGUCUCUGGAUAAUACCUGUGUAGGCAGAGCAGAGUCUUUUAUUGAUGCGAGCAGCACUUGCAAUUUGGAUGAAAAAUCAAUACAAAACUUAAAUGACAGGCAAAAACUUUUGUGAUACUGUCUCACAGAUCUCAAUCCAUGAGCUGGGUAAGAUAUUUUAUUAUAUGGGUCAACAUGUGCAUCUCAUGCCCUUUCCUCAUUGUUUCUCUCUCUGUUUUUGUCACAGGAUUGAUUUUCCCAUCUCAUCUGCUCACGCUGUUUUUUGACUCCUCGCAUCUUCGUCGCUCACCCUCUUUGUUUCCUCCCAUCUCCUCUGCUAAGCUCUCCACCUCCUCCCAUCUCUUCUGUCCCCAUUUCUGUCGCCUCUAACUCCGGUUUUCCCUCAAACAAAACAUAGGUUAUGCCUAUGGCAUCUUCACCAAAAUGCUAUUAGUAGAUUUGGACACAUUUAACAAAUGUUUGACAGUUUUUCAUCCGGUAUCAAUAGAUCAAACGAAGGCAUUGACUCGGAUAACUUCUUCAUAGCCAGGAAGUUUUCAACCACCUUAUCCACACAUUCUAAAACUUUAGAAUUUCCAUAAAAAAAGUUGGCUAUCUUAUGAAAGGCGACAUUGUGAUGAGUUCUCAUGUGCUUUCUCUUUUAUUUGUCCCCUUAGUUUCAUAAGACUCUUUAUAUGUAUACUUGUGAUAACUACCAUAUUCCUUUUCAAUAGGAGAAAUGUCUCAGGCAUGUUCUUUAAAAAAAUUAAGUAAUGUAAUACUUAACUUUAUUAGAAAACUAUAAUACUUUAGUAAUAAAAAUAUAGUACUUAUGUAACUAAUAAAAAAGAAAUAAAUUAAUACUUACAUCUUCCGCCAUUUUGUGUAUCUCAUUGUUAUCAAGUUCACCUGUAGGGAUUGUGAACUUGUUAACUAUUGAAGAUUCUUUCAUGAUUUCAUCACACAUUUUAUUUGAUAUCUCUCUAAGAACCUCAUAUUUAGUAACAACCUUACUACUACUAAUAUGAUAUGUAGAAUGAUCCAACCCCCCUUAUUCAGAAGCUUCAGCAGAUAUUUUUUCAAGCAUCAUUUAUUUUAACUUUUCAUAAGUCUAAUGUUGAAUCAAAGGAACAGUGCAUGGUUGCACAACUAGAGACUCAGACAAAAAAUUCUUCAGGUGUUAAAGAUGGAAGGUAGGUACUGGGCAAAUUUAUAUUUCAAUUUUAUUCAUUUUUUCAAUUUUUUCCAUUUCUUCUGUAAUUUUCUCUUAAUUUUCUUCUUUCUUUUUUGAUUCUUAU